ensembl:lncRNA
CUGCCCCCGCGGAUCAACCCGCAGCUCGCGGCUGGACUAAAGCUGUCACAGGUUAAUUGACGGCCUCCGCGUUCGUCCUCAUUUCCAUGACAACACGGACCUCGAUUUCCUGACUAAGGCUAAAUUCAUUCACAAAACACUCGCCAUGCCGGGGUCGAUGGCGAACACACAGCAGCCCUUUUGAUGGACCUGGGGACAGUGCGACAUGGAACACUUCCUGGGCUGAAUAGCACCCCGACACUCGACACCUGGGACAGUGGCGCUACACCGUUGGCACCAGGCCAAGCCCGAUGAGGCACCUUUGUGUACCCAGUCACAGAAAACCUACCUGGAAAGAUCUCUCCGUGCUGGUUCCCAUGCAUUGCUCCACUCUAGCCUGCAUCCCCUUUGUGCCAAACUGACUUGGGACUUGUUUCAAUCUGGACUAUACUUCCUCUCUCUGUAUAAAAAAAAAAAAAAUGAAAAGAAAAGAAAGAAAACGCAUGCAUGCACUUGGCUUCUUUGCCAUGCCCUGGGGCAGUCAGGCACUGCACAUACUUUGUUGUAGAUGUAAAAACAAUUUCUGGGAUUAAUUUGCUGGCCUUGUUCAUGUUGUUGAACAAGAGGUGUCUAGUUUCAUGCUUUAUUUACUGUUGC